rnacentral:rRNA from 1 species
UACGAAGGGAGCGAGCGUUGUUCGGAAUUACUGGGCGUAAAGGGCGCGUAGGCGGCGACCCAAGUCAGAUGUGAAAGUCCUGGGCUUAACCUGGGGACUGCAUUUGAUACUGGGUUGCUUGAAUUCGGGAGAGGAUAGCGGAAUUCCCAGUGUAGAGGUGAAAUUCGUAGAUAUUGGGAAGAACACCGGUGGCGAAGGCGGCUAUCUGGACCGACAUUGACGCUGAGGCGCGAAAGCGUGGGGAGCAAACAGG